GUAAAGAGCGGCGGACGGGUGAGUAACGCGUGGGUAACCUACCCUGUACACACGGAUAACAUACCGAAAGGUAUGCUAAUACGGGAUAACAUAUUUGAGAGGCAUCUCUUAAAUAUCAAAGGUGAGCAAGUACAGGAUGGACCCGCGUCUGAUUAGCUAGUUGGUAAGGUAACGGCUUACCAAGGCGACGAUCAGUAGCCGACCUGAGAGGGUGAUCGGCCACAUUGGAACUGAGACA
rnacentral:rRNA from 1 species